rnacentral:misc_RNA from 1 species
AACAAGGCGUACCUGCGGACCUGCGGAGGGAUCAUUACCGAGUUAUACAACUCAUCAACCCCUGUGAACUUACCUACAACGUUGCUUCGGCGGGAACAGACGGCCCCGUAAAACGGGCCGCCCCCGCCAGAGGACCCCUAACUCUGUUUUUAUAAUGUUUUUCUGAGUAAACAAGCAAAUAAAUUAAAACUUUUAACAACGGAUCU